UCCUGUCCUGGAUGAUUCACCCCAAGUC
rnacentral:piRNA from 1 species